GAUGAACGCUGGCGGCGUGCCUAAUACAUGCAAGUCGAGCGAACAGACGAGGAGCUUGCUCCUCUGACGUUAGCGGCGGACGGGUGAGUAACACGUGGAUAACCUACCUAUAAGACUGGGAUAACUUCGGGAAACCGGAGCUAAUACCGGAUAAUAUAUUGAACCGCAUGGUUCAAUAGUGAAAGACGGUUUUGCUGUCACUUAUAGAUGGAUCCGCGCCGCAUUAGCUAGUUGGUAAGGUAACGGCUUACCAAGGCAACGAUGCGUAGCCGACCUGAGAGGGUGAUCGGCCACACUGGAACUGAGACACGGUCCAGCCUCCUACGGGAGGCAGCAGUAGGGAAUCUUCCGCAAUGGGCGAAAGCCUGACGGAGCAACGCCGCGUGAGUGAUGAAGGUCUUCGGAUCGUAAAACUCUGUUAUUAGGGAAGAACAAAUGUGUAAGUAACUAUGCACGUCCUGACGGUACCUAAUCAGAAAGCCACGGCUAACUACGU
rnacentral:rRNA from 1 species